rnacentral:rRNA from 1 species
GACGAACCGUGCUAACGUUAUUCGGAAUCACUGGGCUUAAAGGGCGCGUAGGCGGCCUGACAAGUGGAAGGUGAAAUCCCUCGGCUUAACCGAGGAACUGCCUUCCAAACUGUUUGGCUUGAGUCCGGGAGAGGCGAGUGGAAUUCCCAGUGUAGCGGUGAAAUGCGUAGAUAUUGGGAGGAACACCAGUGGCGAAGGCGGCUCGCUGGACCGGAACUGACGCUGAGGCGCGAAAGCGUGGGGAGCAAACAGG